AGAGUUUGAUCAUGGCUCAGGACGAACGCUGGCGGCGUGCUUAACACAUGCAAGUCGAACGGGAUCCUGGAUGCUUUUUGUGUUUGGGUGAGAGUGGCGAACGGGUGAGUAACACGUGAGUAACCUGCCCCUUUCUUUUGGAUAACCGCAUGAAAGUGUGGCUAAUACGAGAUAAUCCAUUUGGGUCGCAUGGCCUGUUUGGGAAAUGCUUAGUUGUGGUGGGGGAUGGGCUCGCGGCCUAUCAGCUUGUUGGUGGGGUGAUGGCCUACCAAGGCGGUGACGGGUAGCCGGCCUGAGAGGGUGGGCGGUCACACUGGGACUGAGAUACGGCCCAGACUCCUACGGGAGGCAGCAGUGGGGGAUUUUGCACAAUGGGCGCAAGCUUGAUGCAGCGACGCCGCGUGAGGGAUGAGGGCCUUCGGGUUGUAAACCUCUUUCGCUGGGUUGAAAGGCCAUGCUUUGGGUGUGGUUGAUUUGAACUGGUAAAGAAGUACCGGCUAACUACGUGCCAGCAGCCGCGGUAAUACGUAGGGUACUAGCGUUGUCCGGAUUUAUUGGGCGUAAAGGGCUUGUAGGUGGUUUGUCGCGUCUGUCGUGAAAUCCUGUGGCUUAACCAUGGGCUUGCGGUGGGUACGGGCAGGCUUGAGUGCGGUAGGGGAGACUGGAAUUCCUGGUGUAGCGGUGGAAUGCGCAGAUAUCAGGAGGAACACCGGUGGCGAAGGCGGGUCUCUGGGCCGUUACUGACGCUGAGGAGCGAAAGCGUGGGGAGCGAACAGGAUUAGAUACCCUGGUAGUCCAUGCUGUAAACGUUGGGCACUAGGUGUGGGGAUCGUUGUGGUUUCUGCGCCGUAGCUAACGCAUUAAGUGUCCCGCCUGGGGAGUACGGCCGCAAGGCUAAAACUCAAAUGAAUUGACGG
rnacentral:rRNA from 1 species